UACGUAGGUGGCAAGCGUUGUCCGGAUUUACUGGGCGUAAAGAGCGCGCAGGCGGUCGUUCAAGUCGCGUGUGAAAGCCCCCGGCUCAACUGGGGAGGGUCACGCGAUACUGAUCGACUCGAAGGCAGGAGAGGGAAGUGGAAUUCCCGGUGUAGCGGUGAAAUGCGCAGAUAUCAGGAGGAACACCGGUGGCGAAGGCGGGUCUCUGGGCCGUAACUGACGCUGAGGAGCGAAAGCGUGGGGAGCGAACAGG
rnacentral:rRNA from 1 species